rnacentral:misc_RNA from 1 species
UUUCGAGACGAUUCCCGUCACCAAGAAAGCGAAGAUGGGGGAAUCAGGGAAGGACGUAAAAACGGGUUUUCAUCCCCCUGACGACACGGACAUUGCCUCGGCGGCAUGGUUCAUGAAGAUGUUCCAGGCGGCGCAAAAAUGUAUGAACUUGUCGAAUCAGCCGAUUGCAGGCGACACCAGCGCCCCUACCAGAUCAGCGGCGCAGACCAAAACUCGGCCCGACAGCCCAGGCGCCCCGACGCCGGACGGGCCGCUGAGGCGUGACGGAGUACCGGCGAAGCGGCCACGGCCAGGACAACGGGACAUUGAAAGCCGUACUCGGGGGAGAAGCCCGAGUACCUGUCAUGCUCCCUCUAUUGAUAUAAAUGAGGAUGAUUCAAACUCUGAAUAUGGCUACCAUCGGCCCAUAGCAUCCCGCAAGCGAAAAUGGGCAGACUCUUUGCUGUCUCAACUUUCCACUUCAGGAUCAGAGAGACAGAGCAUUGCUAGCGGUCGUUAUGAGAAGGAGGGGGUUUCAGUGAUUAGUGAGGGUUUUUCUUCAGCUAAUUUUGCUUCCAGACCCAGCUCUCGCCAUGAUAGCGUAGAAAGCAAGCCUGUUUCGGCUGCAGAUUUGAUUACGAAAUACUGCCCCCAGCUUAAGGCAGAGACUACCGACUCAGAGGAAUCUAAGCCUAUUUUCUGUCUCGAUUCGGAGCUUGGGAGACAAUCUGUCAACUCAGCUGCGGUGAAGCUUGACAAACCCUUCUCAUCCUGCCUGAAUUACCUUAAUGACAGGGGAAGGGACUUACGCCCUACCAACAGAGUGGUUAAGAAGCAUUUUCGCUUUGGGGAACGAGACUUUAAGCACGCUUUCAAGACUCCCACAGUCCCAGAUGCAGCCUUUUGUGUUGGUGAUGCUAAGGCUAAGAGAUCGCGCUACUCUAAUCAGAAUCCACUCGGGUCACGUAGAUUUAAGCGUAUGGAGAGUCAGUUGACCUCUAUUGACCAGGCAGCCAGGGCAUCUAUGCGCCUAGCAACCUAUCACACAUAUCUUUUGACAGCCUUUCGGGAAUCUGAGAGACUAGGUAUCUCCCCAGAGGAUCGCAGAGACAUAUGGGAGUGUGUUCUGAAGAUUGCAGAAUACCAGUUUGAACAGGCGUCGAGAACGGCCAUACUUUGCACGAGAGCAAGACGUUCACAGGUCAUUGACCUACUUCAGAUUGAAAAAAUGCUACUCGACUACUCGAAAGACUGCCAGCCUGGGGGGAUGACCUUUUCAGUGGUCGUUUUCAGGAAGUUUUAGAAUCUUCCAUCUCUGCCUCUUCCACGGCUGAUAAGACAGUGUACAGGUUGUCUUCACAUUCUUAUGGCCAACGUUCCUCCUCACGUCAGCAGGCCUCUGGGCCGAGUAACCAGCAACCGCAAGGCCCCCCACAACGCGAGGUCAGGGAUAGGAGCCCCCAGACCAAUCAAAGGACCCCUACACCCUUUCGGGGUCGACGCAGAUUGUCCCGCGGUUCUCAGUACCCCCCUAAACACUUGUGACUCCUUGGCCGGACCGUUUUCCCCAGACUUACACGCCCCCGUAGGAGGAAGGCUCAUUUUCUUUGCAAAAAAUUGGAGCCUCAUAACAAGAGACAAAUUAAUUCUCAGGAUAGUGUGGGAGGGAUAUCGGGUCGAGAUCGACCCAGAUUAUCGGGAUGCGUUCGCACAAUUAACCACCUCUGCCCUCCCCCACUCUCUCGAAACGAGAGAGGCUCUUUUAAGGGAAAUCAACGAACUGGAGAGAAAGCGUGCAAUUUCCAAGGUGCCCUCCAGCCGAAAGAUUGUUUUGUCAAAUGUCUUCCUAAUUCGGAAACGGUCCGGAAAAUUCAGGAUGAUCCUGAAUCUAAAGAAACUAAACAGGUUCAUCGAAAACAAGCCAUUCAAGAUGGAAUGCCUCUCCAAGAUCCUGCCCCUGCUUCGCCCCCACGAGUGGGCGGCAUCUAUAGACUUAUCGGACGCGUAUCUUCACGUUCCAAUAGCAAGGUCCUCUCAGCAUCUCCUAGGUUUCGCAAUAGGAGGGGACACUUACCAGUACCAGGCCCUCCCUUUAGGCCUUCUCAUAAACUGGGAAAAAUCAAGAUUGACUCCAACUCAGACUCCGGAUUUCCUUGGAGCAUUUAUAGACAUCCCGAGUCAGGUGGCAGCCCCCCUUCCCCACCGGGUUCAGAGAAUGAGAGCAGUCGCGGAGCAACUCCUGUCCAGUCGUCUCUCGACUGCGAAGACUUGGCAGAUUUUUCUGGGACUCUUAGCAAGCUUAGUGAAUACAGUUCCCCCUUGCAGACUGAGGAUGAAUUUUCACAUAAACAGUUUGGAGAUGAUUGCGGUGCAGUUAGCCCUCCAACACUUUGCAUCCGAGAUAGUGGAAAAGUGUGUCCUGAUAAAGUCAGACAACCAGACGGUGGUAACAUAUCACAUAGCAGACUUCUUAUCGAGGGGGCGCUAUCUCCCCUCGGAAUGGAUGCUCCACGAGGCUGUGGCCAGGGAGAUAUUCAAUCAUUUCGGCAACCCACAGAUAGAUCUAUUUGCCUCAACACUACCAGGGACCCAGCACUACUACCCCGAGCCCAACAAACUGAGGCUCACACUGUGGCCCAUUACAGGGCAGCAGCAAUCAAGGCUGGACUUUCUGAACGGGCUGCCAAUUUCUCAGCAGCAGAACGUUUACGGUCUUCCACACGAUCAACCUACGACUCCAGACUCAGUCACUAUGUGAGAUGGUGUCGGCAGGCUAAGACUAAUCCAUGCAGGGCAUCUGUAGGGCUGUCUCGCCGGAUACUAUCUCUCGUUGGAUUGUGGAGGCAGUGAAAUCUGCUGGUGAUCCAGUCAUCAUUCACCAGAACAUUAGAGCCCAUGACACAAGAGGAUUGGCUGCUUCCUGGGCCUUAUUCAAGGGCGUACCCAUGGAGGAUAUAAUGAAAGCGGCAUAUUGGUCCAACGCUAAUACAUUCACAUCCUGCUACCUCUCGGAUGUCCUCGGUGAUGAAUCCAAGUUUGCGAGGGCCACCCUGUCCGGUCCCCAUCGCUAAUCCAAGGUAUGAGUUUAACUUUACAAGCUUGUCAUUAGUAUCUUGUAUAAUAGAAUUGAUCUGUAGGGCCUCUUGGCUUUGACCUUUGGCCUGACCACCUCCCAUAGUUGUUUCCGUGGGAAUCUGGCAUUUAAGGGAAUAGGUAAGUAUGGCGUAUCUGAAGUAGAUUAUGUUGUUCAGUAGUGAACACCAUAUCUACGAAGUAGCCAUACUUACCUAUGCUACCCUCCCACCUCCCCUCUUUCUGUAUCUGAGGUUUGUUUGCCUAAGAAAGAGGAAGUGAGCCACGCACGCAAGGUACUUAUAGUAUAGGGCGGGGUUUCCCUCCUUGUCGUGCAGGGCUCUAGUCUGCGUUGCAGACUUUUUCUCCUUUUAUAGGAGAAAUUUUUGCCGGGUGUAUUCGAGCGUGGCGAUCGAAUGGCAUUUAAGGGAAUAGGUAAGUAUGGCUACUUCGUAGAUAUGGUGUUCACUACUGAA